AUACGGAGGGGGUUAGCGUUGUUCGGAAUUACUGGGCGUAAAGCGCACGUAGGCGGACUGGAAAGUUGGGGGUGAAAUCCCGGGGCUCUACCCCGGAACUGCCUCCAAAACUUCCAAUCUAGAGAUCGAGAGAGGUGAGUGGAAUUCCAAGUGUAGAGGUGAAAUUCGUAGAUAUUUGGAGGAACACCAGUGGCGAAGGCGGCUCACUGGCUCGAUACUGACGCUGAGGUGCGAAAGCGUGGGGAGCAAACAGGAUUAGAAACCCCAGUAGUCC
rnacentral:rRNA from 1 species